CCCGCGUUUUACAAUACGAGGAAAUAGCGAGGCCCUCGUUUUACUACACGAGGAAAUAGCGAGGCCCGCGUUUUCAUAUUACGAGGUCUUUACGACGAUUUUGCAUUACGUGGAAUUAACGAGUCCUCCCUUUACGAGGAAUUAGAGAGGCCCGCCUUUCUAUAAAUACCCACAAGUUUCCUUCUCAAAUCACACACAAA
rnacentral:lncRNA from 1 species